rnacentral:rRNA from 1 species
ACGCUCUCCCCCAAGGACGAAGCCAUGCAUGCCCGCUCACCCGGGACGCGGCGGACGGCUCAGGACAACGGUUGCACCCCCCGCGACGGUCCCUGCUAGCCGGACACCGCUGGCAACCCGGCGCCAAGACGUGCGCGCAAGGGCGGGCACCCGCGGGCGACAGCGUGACGCAGA